GAAACAUUACCCAGAAUGCACUUUUUUUUUUUUUUCCUCCUGUGAGCAAAUCAGAUCCAGGCAUCCAGGCUGCUUGUCAUUAUUUCUGUUUCUCUAUAGCAUACAGAUUAUGAGUGUAGUUUUGCUUUGGAGCUACGAUUGAUCCAGCGCCCCUAUAGUCAACUUGACUGAGCAGGCAACUCAUGUACCAAAGACUCGAGUCCUCACCAGUGUCAAUUCCAACCAGCGUUUCAUUCUACCUUCACUCACUCACACGUUCUUAUUUAAUAAAUACAAAAAGUUAAACUAAAUUAAAAAUAAAAACAUUUAUCUUCUACCACUUGUUCAAUUGAGGGUCGAUAUAGGGUAAAAGUAGGGUAUACCCUGGACGGAUUGCCAGUCUGUUGCAGGGCUAACAGAGAGACAACCAUUCGUGCUCAAAUUCGCACCUAUUGUCAAUUCAGGCUUACCCAAACCCACGCUCGUCUUUGAACUGCCGGAGAAAACCAGAGAGGGGAGAGAACACGCAAACUCUGCACAAGGUUCAUCUUAAAAUUGGUUAUAGAAAAAGUUUGCUAAGUAAAUACGAGGUAUUGGCUCCAGAUUGUGACGGUGGGGGUUUAUUAAUAACAAUUUAAUAUUUACAUCACAACUAAAAUGUUUUUCACCCAUUUCAUCUGUCUCUUUUACUUAAGUGGCUAAAAAAAAUUAGAAAAAAAGAACAAAUAAAAUAAGCACAGAGUUUUAACCAACUCUUAAAAUAUUUAUGGUAUGAAUGUAAUAUUUUGCAUGCCUUUGUUAAAUAGAAUUAUUGUACCAAAAAUAUAUUGAUUCAGAGGGGUCAGGUGGAAACUUUUUAUAUAUAUAUAGCUAUAUAGAUUUGGCUGACUUUAUAUUGAAUGACCCAGUCUGACUGCGGUAGAGUCAGUGCAUCUACCUAACCGACAGAGCAGCACUGUAAAUCAGUCCUGAUCAACAUCAUGAAGUAACAAAUUCACCGGUGGUGAAUGGUUGUGCCAUACGAGUCCUUUUUGAUACACUGUAGUUUAACUAAACCCAUAUUUUUUUAUAUAUACUAUACGUACUUAGGCUCUCCUUGUUGUCUGAUUUUUGUCCCGUUCUGUCUGAAGCUGAAAAAUCACAGUAUGUACAUAUUUUAAGGACAGAAUUACAAUUUCAUUUAAUAUAUAAACUCUGUCCCAACUGGGGGUCUUCUGUGUUUGUGUAGAACGCUUGCUACGUUGAUGCUAUUGUAAUUCACUGUGUUGUCUAUUUUUGUAGAUGUUUUAAUAAAGUUAAUCUUUUCAAA
ensembl:lncRNA